GUCAUGUCAAGAAGAAGCCAUGUUACUGAGAAGAAUGUUACUAAAACUUUUAAUGUCAUACGCUAAAGGCCUCAACAAUGUCUAUGUCUUGAUCCUGGAACAUUUUUCUCUGAUUUUCUUAACCAACAAUUCAAUGAUAAUAAGCAUUCAACCAGCAUGAAGGAUUUAAUCAACACUUGCAUAAAUGCAUCAGAAAACACACUGUAUAAGCAGAGAUAACUAUCUCCUGUCAAGGAUCCCCACUGGCCAGAAACAGGAAACCAGAGGACAAGGGAUCUCACUGAUAGACCAAAGGGGAAUACUAGCAGCAAAGAAAUAAGAACCCAGGCACAUCUAAGACCUACCAUGGAGUUGGAUGCAAAUUAAAAUCAAAAUCUGAUUUCAGUCAUCUCAC